UUGAACACAGUUGUGGUAACCGGAGCAGCAGCAACCAUUCUACCGCCAUGGCGCCACAUCAACGGACUCAAGAUGACACGGCAGAGAGAAGAUGUUUAGAUCUUUCUUAACAAUGUCGAGCCGCUGUACCUACCCUGAACAGCCUUCCUCUGGAAUAGUGAGAAAAUUGUUACUUACAAGACCCAACACUCUCUGCUUUAAAGAAGACUUGCUUCUUCACAGUGACUGUACUGAGGCUGAACACUUUUGUGUCAGAUACCCUGUGGGCUAUGUAGGCGUUGUGGGACUUUGACCAAAUUAUCUAGACUCUCUGACCUUAGUUUUCUUAUCUCUAAAAUGGUCAUAGUAAUAGCACUUCAUUCAUAGGGCAUUCGGAAGCUCAAAGUGGAUCUUACCUGGAAAGCACUUAGCAUAAUGGUUGCUGUGAUGCAGACUCAAUACAUGUCAGUUAUCUUCAUUAUCAGAGAAAGGCACCUGUGGACACUGAUGCUGUGGAAUUUACAUUGCAUCAUGGACUUCCCUGACCAGAAAAUUCUCCCCUAGCCCUCUGCCAAGAGUUUUUCAGGUUCAAGUAGAUGUCUGUGAAUUUAAAACAGCCUUUUUUAAUACAGAUGAACAUGGAACUGCAAUUCUUUUUCCUUCUUCUUACAUAUAGUGAGAUGGCUUUGGACACCCCUCUGACCCCAGGAUAUUUGGACCCACAAACAUUGGUUUCCUCCCCAUCUUCCAAAUGAAUGAUGCAUCAGUGAAGUAGCAUGGAUUGGGAAGUGUGGUGAUAGAGACCUCUGACUACAGAGUUCCUAACUUUUCAG